rnacentral:lncRNA from 1 species
CCUGACUCCUGCUCUGAUACUUGCCUCACUGGAACCGUCAUCCCCUCUCAUGUGGCAAAUGCAGCUGGGUAUGUGGUCAGUGCAACCUGUACUUCUACAGCCACCAGCCUGCAGGCUGGACCCCAUUAGAGUGAGGAACGGAACCCCUGCUAGCCAGCCUCAGGGUGACAAAACUGAGGCUCAGAGGCCAAUGGCCUUGUUCAAGGUCACACGCCCACUAAAUGAGAGACCCGGAGACCUGGCA